GGGCGUGUAUUUCAAUGGCAGAAAGCCGGUCUCAUAAACCGUAAGUUGUAGGUUCGAAUCCUACCACGCCCA
rnacentral:tRNA from 1 species